rnacentral:rRNA from 1 species
GGACCAAUACUGACGCUCAUGCAGCGAAAGCGUGGGGAGCAAACAGGAUUAGAUGGUAGUGGUAGUCCACGCCCUAUGAGUAUGUCAACUAGUUGUUGGGGAUUCAUUUCCUUAGUAACGUAACUAACGCGUGAAGUUGCCCGCGUGGGGAGUACGGUCGCAAGAUUAAAACUCAAAGGAACGGGGGGGGACCCGCACAAGCGGUGGAUGAUGUGGAUUAAUUCGAUGCAACGCGAAAAUCCUUACCUACCCCAUCCAUGGUCGGAAUCCUGAUGAGAGGUGGGAGUGCUCGAAAGAGAGCCGCAGCACAGGUACUGCAUGGCUGUCGUCAGCUCGUGUCGUGAGAUGUUGGGUUAAGUCCCGCAACGAGCGCAACCCUUGUCCUUAGUCAUACGCAAGAGCACUCUAAGGAGACUGCCGGUGACAAACCGGAGGAAGGUGGGGAUGACGUCAAGUCCUCAUGGCCCUUAUGGGUAGGGCUUCACACGUCAUACAAUGGUCGGAACAGAGGGUUCCAACCCGCGAGGGGGAGCUAAUCCCAGAAACCGUUCGUAGUCCGGAUUGCACUCUGCAACUCGAGUGCAUGAAGCUGGAAUCGCUAGUAAUCGCGGAUCAGCAUCCGCGGUAAUACGUUCCCGGGUCUUGUACACACCGCCCGUCACACCAGGGAGUGGGUUUCACCAGAAGUGGGUAGUCUACCUCAAGGAGCCAGUCACCACG